UUCAUUAUUUCAGUCCUUCUAUUCCUGGCUUGUGUAUUCCUGGCUGUACUGGUUCAGCACAGCCUGUUUCACACAUUUUAGCUUUAUGUGUAACAGAGCAGUAUAUGUACGAGUUCCUGGCAGAAGGUCCUGAUGUGAAACAAAAGUGAGAAAUGCCCAGAGCUGUCAGGGUGUGAAAGCUUGCAGAUUCAUUGCUGGGAUUCCUGACUCAACUCCAAAGGCUAUGAGAAAUAAUAGGGAUUAAGAGGCCUAUUUCUGAUAAAGUUCCCUGGUCAAACAA